AAGGUAUUGCUCUGCAAUAUUUACCCUCUUUCUCAAUAAACAGGACAGAAUGGUUAAAAAAGAGAUAAGAGUGUGCCAACAAACUCGGGCCCUUCUGUGCAAGAGUUUUCUUACAAAAUGGAGAACAAAAAGAGAGAGCUUAUUGAACUCUUUAGGGCUAUCUCCCCUUUCCUGAACAACCUCCUUAUGUCCUGAGAAGUGUGGAUCAGUUUAACAACUCUGACACAGUGGUGGCAUAUACGCCAGUGACCAACAUGACACAGAGGAUAGUGGACAGGGUGGCCUUGGCUUCCUUUAUGAAAGAUUUUCAAAAGCAACGAUGUUUUGGCUCUAUGAUAUUGGAUCACAGUUGUACAACUAUAACCCUCAUCACACCUCUCACUUCUUUGGAGUUUCAUGUUUCUUAGCACUAUGGUAUUCUGAUUUUUAAAAACAACAUAUUCACUCUGGAAGGCUGAGGGUCUCCUGGGGAUUGAGGUAUGCUGGCUUUAUCUUUUUUUGUGUUCAUUUUUAUGGCUUUGAUCAUUACAUUGACGCCAAUUAUGGUUCAUACUGGCUUCCUGGUGAUAUUCACACUCUUUAGCCUACACGGCCUGUCUUUGAUUGGCUUUCCUGAUAAGCAUGUUAAUAAAAAAACCCUCUGUUCACUGGUUUGGCUGGAUUUCUCUUCACUGUAUUUUGAGGAUGUCUGGGGUUCACUGUAUUACACAGACAACUUCCAUUACCUUUGGAAUGGCUAUUUGGUCUUCUUAGCUCUGUUGCCUUCUCUGCUGGAAUGGCUCAGGUCUCAAUGUUUAUAUUUGUUGUCCUGCUGUCAACUCAAUAUGGGAAGCUCAACACAAUAUGACAAAAUCAAUGGCUAGAAAUAAAAUAGGUAACACUUAUACUUAAUUUUACACUAAUAUAAAUUAAUCAAGUGGAUACCUCCACUUGAGGUAGGUAAAAGAGUAUCAGAAGGAAAGCUCUGUAACAGGGAAAAGUAUGCUACAGAUAACCCCUAAGUAUGGCUAAAACAAAAUUAUACUUCAUGUUCAUUAUCCAAGACUUGGACUGAUUAAUUUCUUAUUAACUUAAAAACCUUUAUGUUUUUGCAUCCCCAUCUGGGGUCAGAAAUUAGGUCCCAACUGAAUAGUGUGAUUGUUGAGACUCCCAUAUCUCUAGUCAAGGACACAGGACCUAAGUCUUGGGUCUGGUUCACCUUGGAAGAGGAGGUAAAAUAACAGGAACUAAUCAAUUGAAACUGGGUGAGGGGCCGUCUACCUGUUGUGCUUAGAAAAGUCUUGUUUCCACUCUUCCCACCCAGAGAGGAACCAUAAGCACUGAUAAUUAACCAUCGUCUCAUUACCUCCUGCUGCCAGGAUAUGUAUGUCUGUCCUUCAUCCCUGAUGCACUUUAAUCAUGUUGUACUAGCCACUAAGUCAUGAAGGACUACUUUGCUAGCUACAUGGCAUCUGUUAGUUUUUUUGGCUGCAAGAGAUAGACAUUAAAUCAGGCGUUCAAGAAUGGAGCUUUUAGAGUAAGGAUGCACAUGGUAAGAAAAGAAACAAGAAUCAGGAGCAGAGAUGAUUUUAGGAUUUACUCAGCCAUUAUCUACUCUAAAAGGAUGAUCUAGAAACACUCGAUCAAUUAUCAAUUAGAUAAUGAAAAAUGUUAUCAUCUCUAUCCAUCUUAUGAAUUUUGCUCCCAGGAGAUGAUAGUUCUGGUGGAAGCAUAGCUCACGUGUCAUCACUGACUUCUAAAUGCUUCCCACAUGGAGUGUUUGUAGCAGAACAGUGAAAAAUGCUGAUUGGAUGAAUAUAGAAGCAAAUGCAUCAGAAAAUAUAGCAGGAUUAUGAUAGAUUGGAUUAAAAAGUGUUAAUUGCUGCAAAUAAAACUAGUGAGUAUUUGUUUCCCAGAAAUUCUGUGUCUCUAUUUGUUUAAUUUUUCAAUUGAGGUAAAAGAUGUAUCAUAUAAAAUUUGCUUGAAAUGAACCAGAUACAAAAGGACAAAUACUAUAUGAUUAUACUCAAAGGAAAUAUCUAGAAUAGGCACAUUCUAGGAUAGAAAGAGAUGAAACAUUCCUAGGGGCUGAGGAGAGGGGAGAAUGGGAGUUAUUGCUUCUUGGUUACAGAAUUCCUGUUUGAGGUGAUGAAAAAUUUUAGAACUAGAUAAUGAUAAUAGUUACACAAUAUUGUGGAUAUAAUUAA